CAAAACAUCAAUGAUAUUGUAAAAAAAGAGAAAAACAACUACUAUUGCAUGCUGUGUGUUGAGUUCUGCCUAAUGAGGUGCUACUUAGCCUAUCCUCCCCAUAACCCUACUCUCUAUGUCACUAUUUUUCCCCACCAAAAUAAGUAGAAAAUGUCCCCCUGAAAGUCAACAAAUGUGUAAUUUUGGAACCCUGUUUUAUAAAGGGUGUGAUCAUUUCUAGCCAGUAUAUGCAGAAACAAUUCCGCUGGAAUAUUAUAAAAGGGGGACAUUCUAUGAAUUAAAGGAAAAAUCUACUGUAAUUUAAAAUGAGGUAUAAUGGCCCCUUUUUUUGUUUUCAUUUAGGAAAACUUGAACCAACCACUGUUUGUAAAAGUCUAAACUUCUCUCCCUAAGAUUUGCUCUGCUGUUAGUGUUUGGUUGUAUUAUGUAUACGUUAUACUACUUUAUGCUUAUUGCAAUCAGUUGGCGUCAUUUAAAGUUAAUUAUAUAUUUUUAGCAAAAUAGUCACCUCAAAACCCUUUGUUCAAUAACCAUUUCUUUAUUCUAAAUGUCACAUUUUGAGAAAGAUACCAUCAGGCCCUGUUUUGACUGGUAUGGUGAGGCUAAAAAUAAUUCAGUUUGGAUUUCUCAUAAAAAAAAUUAUUGGGGACAUUAAUGUUGGGAUAUGUCCUUACUGGCUUUCUCUAAUACAUGAACAUGUUCUAAACCUAGAAAUCUGAAUGUACCUAUAUGCACGGUAGGCUAUCUGGUGUUCGGUUACACUUGGUGUUUUACCCUGUGUAACUGGUUCGGUUACACCUGCGUGUUUUACCCUGUGUUAAACUGGUUCGGUUACACCUGGUGUUUUACCUGUGUUAACUGGUUCGGUUACACCUGGUGUUUUACCCUGUGUAACUGGUUCGGUUACACCUGGUGUUUUACCUGUGUAACUGGUUCGGUUACACCUGGUGUUUUACCCUGUGUUAACUGGUUCGGUUACACCUUGUGUUUUACCCUGUGUAACUGGUUCGGUUACACCUGGUGUUUUACCCUGUGUAACUGGUUCGGUUACACCUGUGUUUUACCCUGUGUUAACUGGUUCGGUUACACCUGGUGUUUAAUGUGUAACUGGU
rnacentral:lncRNA from 1 species